AAACAUGAGAAUAGCUUUCUCUGGCACAUGGUUGCCAUCACCUGAAAAGAUCAGGAGCUUCUGAGCCCAAGGCCUAGACAACCUAUACCUCCCCCAUUCAGCCCCCUCCCUCCCCUCUUCUUUAGCAAUGAGGCCUAUUCAGCAACACACAGGAAGAACAGCCUUUACAGGCCAGGAUCCACUGCAUAUAGGAAUCUUUCUCAUUGAAAUCUACAGAGCUCAAGAGUAUCUGCAUUUGGAGAAGAGCCUGGGAAGCAGCUAUCCAAGCACUGGGUGCAUUCCAAUCUCAGGUCCCUCGUUGGCUGCUCGUCAGAUUUCUCUCUUCAAUUCCAAGCGCAUCUUAUGUAAACAAUAGUGUCUAUGAUAGUGGAUGUGAUUGUGUGCUACCUGGAUCUCCUAGCUGAAAUCCUUCGAAGAAUUUCCUUCAGUCAAUGGGAGCCACCUCCCCUGAGGUUAUGGCUCCAGGUGAAGAUUAAACAGCUGUAGAAGUGUCAUCCAAGAUUGGCCAAUGCUGUUCCUGAGAGUCCUU
rnacentral:lncRNA from 10 species